CGCUGGCGGCGUGCUUAACACAUGCAAGUCGAACGGAAAGGCCCUGCUUUUGUGGGGUGCUCGAGUGGCGAACGGGUGAGUAACACGUGAGUAACCUGCCCUUGACUUUGGGAUAACUUCAGGAAACUGGGGCUAAUACCGGAUAGGAGCUCCUGCUGCAUGGUGGGGGUUGGAAAGUUUCGGCGGUUGGGGAUGGACUCGCGGCUUAUCAGCUUGUUGAUGGGGUAGUGGCUUACCAAGGCUUUGACGGGUAGCCGGCCUGAGAGGGUGACCGGCCACAUUGGGACUGAGAUACGGCCCAGACUCCUACGGGAGGCAGCAGUGGGGAAUAUUGCACAAUGGGCGGAAGCCUGAUGCAGCAACGCCGCGUGCGGGAUGACGGCCUUCGGGUUGUAAACCGCUUUCGCCUGUGACGAAGCGUGAGUGACGGUAAUGGGUAAAGAAGCACCGGCUAACUACGUGCCAGCAGCCGCGGUGAUACGUAGGGUGCGAGCGUUGUCCGGAUUUAUUGGGCGUAAAGGGCUCGUAGGUGGUUGAUCGCGUCGGAAGUGUAAUCUUGGGGCUUAACCCUGAGCGUGCUUUCGAUACGGGUUGACUUGAGGAAGGUAGGGGAGAAUGGAAUUCCUGGUGGAGCGGUGGAAUGCGCAGAUAUCAGGAGGAACACCCAGUGGCGAAGGCGGUUCUCUGGGCCUUUCCUGACGCUGAGGAGCGAAAGCGUGGGGAGCGAACAGGCUUAGAUACCCUGGUAGUCCACGCUGUAAACGGUGGGUACUAGGUGUGGGGUCCAUUCCACGGGUUCCGUGCCGUAGCUAACGCUUUAAGUACCCCGCCUGGGGAGUACGGCCGCAAGGCUAAAACUCAAAGGAAUUGACGGGGCCCCGCACAAGCGGCGGAGCAUGCGGAUUAAUUCGAUGCAACGCGUAGAACCUUACCUGGGUUUGACAUGGAUCGGGAGUGCUCAGAGAUGGGUGUGCCUCUUUUGGGGUCGGUUCACAGGUGGUGCAUGGCUGUCGUCAGCUCGUGUCGUGAGAUGUUGGGUUAAGUCCCGCAACGAGCGCAACCCUUGUUCACUGUUGCCAGCACGUUAUGGUGGGGACUCAGUGGAGACCGCCGGGGUCAACUCGGAGGAAGGUGGGGAUGACGUCAAGUCAUCAUGCCCCUUAUGUCCAGGGCUUCACGCAUGCUACAAUGGCUGGUACAGAGAGUGGCGAGCCUGUGAGGGUGAGCGAAUCUCGGAAAGCCGGUCUCAGUUCGGAUUGGGGUCUGCAACUCGACCUCAUGAAGUCGGAGUCGCUAGUAAUCGCAGAUCAGCAACGCUGCGGUGAAUACGUUCCCGGGGCUUGUACACACCGCCCGUCAAGUCAUGAAAGUUGGUAACACCCGAAGCUGGUGGCCUAACCGUUGUGGGGGAGCCGUCGAAGGUGGGACUGGAGA
rnacentral:rRNA from 1 species